rnacentral:misc_RNA from 1 species
AUUCGUGUGGUUAUCGAUUGGUAUCGAUUUUCAAUAACAAUCACUAGAUAAAUUGAUAUUGAUUGGUAUCGAUUGGUUGCAGAUUGAAGGAAUUGGUGCAUAAAUAUCCCAUCUUUGUACGCAGUAAUUGUAAACACAUUUCAGUUUAGUCCUUUGAACGUUAACAGGAGAGCAAGACUCUCUUCUUUCUCUUCAACGCCCUGUCCACAGGUUCCAUCUUCUUUUGACAACUCAAAGUUUGUUCCCGUUCUUGCUUGGUUAACAACUUUUAACACGUUUCCACGUUCUCCCCUUUUCUUGUCAGCAGUAAACACUUCACGGACGUUCACCUCAAAACGGCAAAGAUGAUAGCCUUUGGCAAUGCAUCUUAUAUUCAGUAAAGCCUCUUCCCGGACUUCUUGCGUAGACUUAUAUAAUGACACAGAAAGGCGAGGACGGGCAAGAUCGAUUAAUGCUGCAACAGGAGUGACUGGCAUGAAUGUGUUCCUAACCUUGCUUAACAUUCCAUGGCUCUCAAAAAGAGCAUACAAAUUUCAGGAGGAGGCAAUUGGGGGGAUUUUGCACGUCACUAAAGAGACCUGCACAGAAACCAUAAGAAAGGAGGUGGAGGCUGUUGCAGAGUCAAAUCCGUCUGAGACCACAAGCCUUGCAGUCUUUUUACCUUAGAGACAAAGCAGAAAUAAACUCUAGCUCUGAUGCCGCCUGGCAAAAGCGAGGAUCUGGCAGAGCAUACAAUAGUUUGU